rnacentral:rRNA from 1 species
CCUAUGGGGUGCAGCAGUUACGAGAACUUUACAAUGCGCGAAAGCGUGAUAAGGGGAUCCUAAGUGAUAUAGCUUAUGGUUAUAUCUGUGGAGAAAUGUAAAAUAUUUCUCAAGAAAGGGGUGGGCAAUAUCGGUGCCAGCAGCCGCGGUAAUACCGGAGCCCCGAGUGGUGACCGUUUUUAUUGGGUCUAAAGCGUCCGUAGCCGGAUUAUUAAGUUCUCAGUGAAAUUGUUAGGCUUAACCUAACGAAUGGCCUUGAAUACUGGUAAUCUAGGGAUCGGGAGAGGCCAAGAGUAUGCCUAGGGGAGGGGUAAAAUCCUUUAAUCCUAGGCAGACUACCAAUGGCGAAGGCACUUGGCUAGAACGAGUCCGACGGUGAGGGACGAAAGUUAGGGUAGCAAACGGGAUUAGAUACCCCCGUAGUCC